rnacentral:lncRNA from 1 species
UCUACUUUAAAAGUCAACUCUGAAAAUGAGAAGCAUUUCCUCUUAUUUCCACAAGUUUAUUGUGUGUGAAUCCCUAGAAGAAUUUGGCAAUAAUAAUAAAAAUAAGGAACGAUGAUGCACCACCAAAUGUAUUUACUGCAGUAUCAGUGGUGCUAAAGAUGUGCUUGGAAACCUAUGUAAAUCACUGAAUAACUUUUUCCCAAACCACAGCUGGCUGAGAGAAUUUUAUUAAAACACAAUUUCGUCUAAACAUGCUAUUUUAUCAGAAUUGACACGUCCAGCAGAACAACGCUUGCUCCAGUGAAGGGCUGCUCUGAGGAAUGUUCUGGUCGACACAAGAGAGAGCACGAUCGAAGAUGUGAAAACACGUGAAAAUAUCUGCCGGCAGCGCUCCCGGAUCGAGCCACCGCCACCGUCCCAGGCAGGAGGGACAAGCUGGUGGAGGGGACAUGCUGCCAUGGGAGGAGACGGCUUCUGCAGGAGGGUGAGUCCAUACCCACGGGUGCUGUGGGUCCGUCUCACUGCCCUGGACACAGGACUGCAUCCCACGUGUCCCCACACAAGUCAGGGGGCAGAUC